rnacentral:rRNA from 1 species
CCUACGGGGGGCAGCAGUGAGGAAUAUUGGUCAAUGGGCGCGAGCCUGAACCAGCCAAGUAGCGUGAAGGAUGACUGCCCUACGGGUUGUAAACUUCUUCUAUAAAGGAAUAAAGUGAGGCACGUGUGCCUUUUUGUAUGUACUUUAUGAAUAAGGAUCGGCUAACUCCGCGCCAGCAGCCGCGGUAAUAUGGAGGAUCCGAGCGUUAUCCGGAUUUAUUGGGUUUAAAGGGAGCGUCGAUGGGUUGUUAAGUCAGUUGUGAAAGUUUGCGGCUAAACCGUAAAAUUGCAAUUGAUACUGGCAGCCUUGAGUACAGUUGAGGUAGGCGGAAUUCGUGGUGUAGCGGUGAAAUGCUUAGAUAUCACGAAGAACUCCGAUUGCGAAGGCAGCUUACGAAACUGCCACUGACAUUGAUGCUCGAAAGUGUGGGUAUCAAACAGGAUUAGAUACCCGGGUAGU